UCCCGACAAACUACAAAAUAUUCGGCUCCUCUAUUUAUUUUCGUCAGCCGUUCCCUUCCCUUCCUCUCCUUCGUCCGAGGAAGUGCCGUCCAGUCGAUUCCUUCGCUUCCGAUUGGAUAUGAUGGCAGCAGUAUCAGGGAAUUGUGCUCAAAAUGUAUUUCUGGCACAGCAUUGUCAACGGAGUAGGCAAUUAAACCCCAGAUUUCCCAGCGAUUCUUGUUCUCUUAGCAUCCACAGCACACAUCCCUUGCAGGCGUGGAGAUUGGCAUGGCCUAACAAAUCAGCCAUGUGGUCGCAUACCUUAGCAGCACACAGGACCGAUCUUGGGAACCGAGCAAGUAUCUAUUGCAAUGCUGCUCAAUUUACAAGUGCUAUUUCGUCCUCUGAGAAAGUUGACUUUCUCAAGCUUCAAAAUGGAAGUGAUAUUCGAGGUGUUGCUGUUGCUGGUGUUGUCGGGGAACCUGUCAGUCUUACUGAACCUGUUGCAGAAGCUAUAGCUGCUGCUUUUGCUGAUUGGUUAUUGGUUAAAAAGAAACCAGCUGAAUCAAAACGCCUAAGAGUCUCCAUUGGACAUGAUUCACGAAUAUCUGCUCAGAAAUUACAGGAUGCAGUUUCUCGUGGAAUUUGUAGUGCUGGAGUUGAUGUUAUUCAGUAUGGAUUGGCAUCUACGCCAGCAAUGUUCAGCAGCACACUUACAGAAAAUGAAAGUAUCCUUUGUCCAGUUGAUGGAUCCAUAAUGAUAACAGCCAGCCAUCUUCCCUAUAAUCGCAAUGGCUUUAAGUUUUUUACUAAUGCUGGUGGACUUGGAAAAGCUGACAUUAAAGACAUCUUGGAGCGUGCUGCAUAUAUAUAUGAGAAGUUCACAGAUGAAAGUCUGAAGAAAUCAGAACAAGCCACAAAUGCAGCUGUUAGAAAGGUGGAUUAUAUGGCAGUUUACACUUCUGAUCUUGUAGCUGCAGUUCGUAAAGCUGCAGGGAACAUAGAGAAGCCACUGGAGGGAUUUCAUAUAAUUGUGGAUGCAGGGAAUGGAGCAGGUGGAUUUUUUGCGGGAAAGGUACUUGAACCUUUGGGCGCAGUUACUACUGGCAGUCAGUUUUUGGAGCCAGAUGGUAUGUUUCCAAACCAUAUUCCCAACCCUGAGGAUAAAGCUGCAAUGAAAGCAAUAACCCAGGCAGUCCAGGAGAAUAAGGCGGAUUUAGGUAUCAUAUUUGAUACGGACGUUGACAGAUCUGCUGCAGUAGAUUCCACUGGUCGUGAGUUCAACCGUAAUCGACUUAUUGCUUUAAUGUCGGCUUUGGUACUUGAAGAACAUCCAGGAACUAGUAUUGUUACUGACAGCGCAACUUCAGAUGGCUUGACUGCAUUUAUUGAAAAGAAACUUGGAGGAAAGCAUCACCGGUUCAAAAGAGGGUACAAAAAUGUCAUUGAUGAAGCAGUUCGCUUGAAUUCUAUUGGUGAAGAGUCACAUUUGGCCAUUGAAACUAGUGGUCAUGGAGCUUUGAAGGAGAAUCACUGGCUUGAUGAUGGAGCAUACCUCAUGGUCAAACUCUUAAACAAACUUGCCUCUGCCAGAAAUUCUGGUUCAGGUAGUGGUAGCAAAGUUCUGACUGACUUGAUAGAGGGCCUGGAGGAAGCUGCUGUGGCAGUGGAACUAAGAUUGAAGAUUGAUCAGAACCAUGCAGACCUGAAAGGAGGGUACGUCAGACAGUAAUUUCUGAUGCAUUUUUCUUCCUCCUUUCCUUGAUAGGAAAUGGCUGAAACCUUGUAUUCUGGAAGUCCGUUUUUCCAUUGGACCCCAAGAUUCUUACUAGUGCUUUUGAUCUUUCCGUGAUUAUGGAGAAGCAGUGCUAAAACAUUUGGAGAACACAACUAGCUCAGAUCCGAAGCUGAAAAAAGCACCCAUCAACUAUGAAGGCGUUAGGGUCUCGGGCCAUGGUGGCUGGUUCCUGCUGAGGCUUUCACUUCAUGAUCCAGUUCUGCCCCUGAACAUUGAGGCUCCAAGCAAUGAGGAUGCUGUGAAGUUGGGGCUUGCUGUUCUGGCUGCCGUGAAAGAGUUUGCAGCUCUGGACACAUCGGCCCUUCACAAGUUUGUGCAACAGUAAGACCUUACCAGAACAAUGCCAUUUUGUCUCUACACCCUGAUAUGGCAAGCUGCGAGAAUUUGUUUCCCCUUAUUCUUGUGAGAAGGCUCAAUAACAUGUGUUUGCUACAUGAUUGCUUCUUGUACAAAACAAGAUAAUGUUCAGAUGGGAAUGAAGCCUUGUUACCUGAGUUUUUUGGUUA